GACGAACGCUGGCGGCGUGCCUAAUACAUGCAAGUCGAGCGGACGAGUCGAAAGCUUGCUUUUGAUUCGUUAGCGGCGGACGGGUGAGUAACACGUGGGCAACCUGCCCUGUAGACGGGGAUAACACCGAGAAAUCGGUGCUAAUACCGGAUAACACGAAAUGUCGCAUGACGUUUCGUUGAAAGACGGCGCAAGCUGUCGCUACAGGAUGGGCCCGCGGCGCAUUAGCUAGUUGGUGAGGUAACGGCUCACCAAGGCGACGAUGCGUAGCCGACCUGAGAGGGUGAUCGGCCACACUGGGACUGAGACACGGCCCAGACUCCUACGGGAGGCAGCAGUAGGGAAUCUUCCGCAAUGGACGAAAGUCUGACGGAGCAACGCCGCGUGAGCGAAGAAGGCCUUCGGGUCGUAAAGCUCUGUUGUUAGGGAAGAACAAGUAACGCAGUAACUGGCGUUACCGUGACGGUACCUAACGAGAAAGCCACGGCUAACUACGUG
rnacentral:rRNA from 1 species